rnacentral:rRNA from 1 species
AGAACGAACGCUGGCGGCAUGCCUAAUACAUGCAAGUCGAACGGAACACUUCGGUGUUAGUGGCGCACGGGUGCGUAACGCGUGGGAAUCUGCCCUUGGGUUCGGAAUAACAGUUGGAAACGACUGCUAAUACCGGAUGAUAUCGAAAGAUCAAAGAUUUAUCGCCCAGGGAUGAGCCCGCGUAGGAUUAGCUAGUUGGUGAGGUAAAGGCUCACCAAGGCGACGAUCCUUAGCUGGUCUGAGAGGAUGAUCAGCCACACUGGGACUGAGACACGGCCCAGACUCUACGGAGCAGCAGUAGGG